AGUUCCUGCCGGGCAGGCUGGGUAGCCGGACUCCCAGCUGCGCCGUCUUCACGGAAGCGGUGCUGAUGCGGGACCUGGGGGACUGCGGUGCUGGGGACUGGCCAGUCCUACCGGGGGCGGGGCUUGUGGAAGACUGGGCGGGAUUUUGAAGACCUAGGUCUUGUGGAUGGUGAACUCACUUGGGGCGGGGAGGGAGGUGGGGCUACCCUGGGGUCUUGGGCAAAGUCCUCGCCUGGCCGGCUUCGCUACCCUUGUGCUUGCGUUGCCCACAAGCUUGUAGUCAGAAGAACUCGCCUGGGAGGGAUCGCUCCUGGGAGAUCCGAACGCGGGAGGGCCUGGAGCGCGGCGGCAGCUGGAUAGCAUUCGGGCCCAUCCGAAUAAGCGGAGCCUGGAUGGCCAUCUUUCUUCUGAUAGCAAUAAGCUGGAUGCUGGGAUAGAAGCCUGAUACCUCCUCCAACCCUAGUCCUUGGCCUCUAGUUUACUCGCCUGAGGCAAGGGUAGAGUGGAGGAAGAUUUAGGGAAAGCAAGUAGUCCGUUUUAUUGUUACGGACCAGAGAGGUUGGGGGUGCAGAUGAAACCAACAUCUGGUAAGGAGUGUGGCUGAUCAGCCUUGGGCUCUGCUUCCUCAUCCCACCUUUGCUUCCUAUCUCUGGAACUCUUCUAGGGGGAGAUUGAGUUACUUAGUAUGGUAUGGGGAGGUGCAGAGGGUAUGGCUAAUAAACAGCCGGGAAUUCUA
ensembl:lncRNA ZPLD2P zona pellucida like domain containing 2, pseudogene